rnacentral:rRNA from 1 species
GCUCAAAUACGAAAGCAUGGGGAGCAAACAGGAUUAGAUACCCUGGUAGUCCAUGCUGUAAACGAUGUCGAUUUGAAGGUUGUAGCCUUGAGCUAUAGCUCAAGGCUAACCUUCAAAUCGACCGCCUGGGGA